CUGCGGCAGCGACGCUUAUGCGUUGUUGGGUAGGGGAGCGUUCUGUAAGCCUGUGAAGGUGUGUCGUGAGGCAUGCUGGAGGUAUCAGAAGUGCGAAUGCUGACAUAAGUAACGAUAAAGCGGGUGAAAAGCCCGCUCGCCGGAAGACCAAGGGUUCCUGUCCAACGUUAAUCGGGGCAGGGUGAGUCGACCCCUAAGGCGAGGCCGAAAGGCGUAGUCGAUGGGAAACGGGUUAAUAUUCCCGUACUUGGUGUUACUGCGAAGGGGGGACGGAGAAGGCUAUGUUGGCCGGGCGACGGUUGUCCCGGUUUAAGCGUGUAGGUGUGUGUUCCAGGUAAAUCCGGUUCACUUUAACACUGAGGCGUGAUGACGAGGCACUACGGUGCUGAAGUAACAAAUGCCCUGCUUCCAGGAAAAGCCUCUAAGCAUCAGGUAACAUCAAAUCGUACCCCAAACCGACACAGGUGGUCAGGUAGAGAAUACCAAGGCGCUUGAGAGAACUCGGGUGAAGGAACUAGGCAAAAUGGUGCCGUAACUUCGGGAGAAGGCACGCUGACACGUAGGUGAAGUGAUUUACUCACGGAGCUGAAGUCAGUCGAAGAUACCAGCUGGCUGCAACUGUUUAUUAAAAACACAGCACUGUGCAAACACGAAAGUGGACGUAUACGGUGUGACGCCUGCCCGGUGCCGGAAGGUUAAUUGAUGGGGUCAGCGCAAGCGAAGCUCCUGAUCGAAGCCCCGGUAAACGGCGGCCGUAACUAUAACGGUCCUAAGGUAGCGAAAUUCCUUGUCGGGUAAGUUCCGACCUGCACGAAUGGCGUAAUGAUGGCCAGGCUGUCUCCACCCGAGACUCAGUGAAAUUGAACUCGCUGUGAAGAUGCAGUGUACCCGCGGCAAGACGGAAAGACCCCGUGAACCUUUACUAUAGCUUGACACUGAACAUUGAGCCUUGAUGUGUAGGAUAGGUGGGAGGCUUUGAAGUGUGGACGCCAGUCUGCAUGGAGCCGACCUUGAAAUACCACCCUUUAAUGUUUGAUGUUCUAACGUGGACCCGUUACCCGGGUUGCGGACAGUGUCUGGUGGGUAGUUUGACUGGGGCGGUCUCCUCCUAAAGAGUAACGGAGGAGCACGAAGGUUGGCUAAUCCUGGUCGGACAUCAGGAGGUUAGUGCAAUGGCAUAAGCCAGCUUGACUGCGAGCGUGACGGCGCGAGCAGGUGCGAAAGCAGGUCAUAGUGAUCCGGUGGUUCUGAAUGGAAGGGCCAUCGCUCAACGGAUAAAAGGUACUCCGGGGAUAACAGGCUGAUACCGCCCAAGAGUUCAUAUCGACGGCGGUGUUUGGCACCUCGAUGUCGGCUCAUCACAUCCUGGGGCUGAAGUAGGUCCCAAGGGUAUGGCUGUUCGCCAUUUAAAGUGGUACGCGAGCUGGGUUUAGAACGUCGUGAGACAGUUCGGUCCCUAUCUGCCGUGGGCGCUGGAGAACUGAGGGGGGCUGCUCCUAGUACGAGAGGACCGGAGUGGACGCAUCACUGGUGUUCGGGUUGUCAUGCCAAUGGCACUGCCCGGUAGCUAAAUGCGGAAGAGAUAAGUGCUGAAAGCAUCUAAGCACGAAACUUGCCCCGAGAUGAGUUCUCCCUGAGACUUUAGGUCUCCUGAAGGAACGUUGAAGACGACGACGUUGAUAGGCCGGGUGUGUAAGCGCAGCGAUGCGUUGAGCUAACCGGUACUAAUGAACCGUGAGGCUUAACCUUACAACGCCGAAG
rnacentral:rRNA from 1 species